AUCAACUUUCGAUGGUAGGAUAGAGGCCUACCAUGGUGGUAACGGGUAACGGGGUGUUAGGGCACGACACCGGAGAGGGAGCCUGAGAAACGGCUACCACAUCCAAGGAUGGCAGCAGGCGCGCAAAUUACCCAAUCCCGACACGGGGAGGUAGUGACAAUAAAUAACAAUACGGGGUUCUUUCGGAUCUCGUAAUUGGAAUGAGUACAAUUUAAAUCUCUUAACGAGGAACAAUUGGAGGGCAAGUCUGGUGCCAGCAGCCGCGGUAAUUCCAGCUCCAAUAGCGUAUAUUAAAGUUGUUGCAGUUAAAAAGCUCGUAGUUGAAUUUCGGGGUUAGUAGGUUGGUCAUGCCUCUGGUAUGUACUGGUCUCACUGAUUCCUCCUUCCUUAUGAACCGUAAUGCCAUUAAUUUGGUGUUGCGGGGAAUUUGGACUGUUACUUUGAAAAAAUUAGAGUGUUUAAAGCAGGCUAACGCUUGAAUACAUUAGCAUGGAAUAAUGAAAUAGGACGUUCGAUCUUAUUUUGUUGGUUUCUAGGAUUGACGUAAUGAUUAAUAGGGAUAGUUGGGGGCAUUAGUAUUCAAUUGUCAGAGGUGAAAUUCUUGGAUUUAUUGAAGACUAACUACUGCGAAAGCAUUUGCCAAGGAUGUUUUCAUUAAUCAAGAACGAAAGUUAGGGGAUCGAAGACGAUCAGAUACCGCCGUAGUCUUAACCAUAAACUAUGCCGACUAGGGAUCGGAUGAUGUUAAUUUUUUAAUGACUCAUCCGGCGCCUUACGGGAAACCAAAGUGUUUGGGUUC
rnacentral:rRNA from 1 species